UCGGCCUCCCAAAGUGCUGGGAUUACAGGCGUGAGCCACCACGCCCGGCCUAAGGCUGCCUCCUUUCAUGCAUAAUUUUUCUUACUUUGUUUUCUGACCCCGGACCCUGUUGCGCAGGUGUGAAAGAUACAGAGCAAGUAAUGACCCCACUGACCUGAGUCUGCACCGCUUUUCCCCAGAUAGCAUGUGGCUCACUCUCAUCCCGCAGGGUUCCGUUCCAGUGUUUCUCAUGGGAGAGGUUUCCCUGAUGAUUUUAUCUAAAAUUGCAAUCCCCUCUCUCUCCAAACUGGCAUGCCCUCACCACUGUUUUCCCCGCAGUUCUUACCAUUGCCUGACGCUACACAUGCGGAGGGCCUAGCCAAGAAGCCAUCGGGGGCUGAGGGAAGGACGGCUCCAGCGAAGCCGGGAACAGCGGAGGGAAGGUUUUGGGACGGAGCUCCCUGUAGUGCACGGGGAGAGCUAUGAGGAGCCGCCCUUUGCAUGGGUCCGUAGAAGGUUAAGGGACAGAGCUGCCAGGGCGUCGGGGGCGGUGGCAGGCCGAGAUCCAGUGGAUCUUGGUAUCUCUGAUUAGCCGCUUCCACUAUUUUUUGGAACUCUGGAUGGAUAUUAAUUAGAUAAUCGCUGCAAAUUACUAAUUUGUAAUACUAAUUACCUUUGAUCCUGAUGUGGCAGGCCUGCCAUUUUUGUGUUGCUGCAACAGGCCAGCUGGGAAGUUCAAGAUUGGACAGCUGCAUCUGGCAGCUUCUGAUGAGGGCUUUGUGCUGCAUCAAAACAUGGCAGAGAAAUGGAAGGCGGACCAGGUGCAUGGGGGAAAGGAGGAAAACAUGAGGCGCGACCUUGCUUGAUGACAACCCAACUCUAAAGCAGAAGGCCUCUGGCUCUUUCCCUGUGUUGACUGGAGGCUGAGUCUCUGUCCUCGACACCCCACGCGCUGCUGCCUCCUCUGCCCUGCCUGGGGAGCCCUGCCCGGUCUGGCCCUGUGCUGGGAACAGCCAGAGCUGGGGCUUCUUGCGCUUCCUGUUCACACCCACGGAACCAGCUUUGCCUUCCCCUCUGCUGUGCAGGGAGAAGGGAGGUGGGAGGUGCGGCGGGGAUGGUCCCGUCUGUGGCUUCCUGCUUCUCGGCUGGCAGGAGGAAGGCAGGUUUUCUGUGUCUGUGUCUCUGUGGUCUUUCAGGCUCAGCACUUGGGUAGGAAGAUGAAAACCUCGGAGUGCCCUUGUCUCUUUCCCUCGGGUCUGAUCAGACCAAAGCCUUGUGUGGUGGAGGAGCUGAAAGGAUGUGGCACGGGGAGGCUGGCAGCCCGGCGCUGCUCGGCUCACUUUUCCCUCUGCCAGCCUUUGUUACCAAGGGGUUUGGACUUGAUCUUGCAAAUGGAUCAUCUCUUGAUCCUUCUCUAGCCUCUAGGGACAAAUAUACUAGAAGAAAUGGUCAUGACAAUUGGUGCCACCAGCAGGAGGGAUAGCCAGGAAGCAAGGGUUGGAAUGGUUUCUCCUUGAGAGAAGCAAGCCUCUGAGUCCAAGGCCCUCCACCAAGCGGUUCUGGUCCGGUGCUCCAGCCUCACCACCCGUCCUGCGCCAUGCAUGGAGUUGGGGUUGUAACCACACACAAACACAGCGUUCUGCCAACGCACCCUCCUCAAGGUCUCUCAUCAUCCCUCCUUCCCAUCUCCUCCACUGGAGCACGGCCACAGCAGUAUUCACUGACUUCCAGUUUCCUGCGGGAUAAAUCUGAACCCUUUGUCGUGGCACCCAAAGUCCUUGCCCAGCUGCGCAGUCCCAGCUCCUCUUCAUCGUGUGCGGCAACUUGUUCUCCAAGCAGCCUCUGCUUUCUCAAGCAUAGAAGCUGAGCUGUGUCAUCUCCUCUGCCUGUACCCCUUCUUUUCUGUCUCUGCUGGAGAACCCCUGCUCAGCCUCAGGAAAGAUGUUUAAGGGACAGUUAUGCAUGAGGGUUUAGAGUUCAGAGACCCAGUCUGUCCUGGAGGUCAAGGGCAUGUUGUUGGCAAUUGAAGCCUCAACAAUUCAAUCGAGUGAAUACAUGAGUGAAUAGAUGAACUGUUGCGGAAUCAGAAACUGAGGCUCAAGCUGGGCACGGUGACUCACGCCUAUAAUUCCAGCACUUUGGAAGGCU